CCCCGGCUCUAAUCUCCCAUGCUACUCUCGAUCUUCAAGAAGAGUAUGAUGAGAAGGAGGAGGUUCUGAGGCAAUUUGACAUGAACAUGGCUUAUGGACCCUGCAUAGGGAUAAGCCGUCCGGAACGCUGGGAGCGAGCUAAUAACUUUGGUCUAAACCCGCCAGCACAAGUUGAAAAUCUGCUGAGGAUGGAAAAAGCUAACUACUUAUGCUUGUGGGAUGGUCGUGCUUAGCCAUCGUCAUGAUGUUUGUGUGCCUAGUGCUUGUUUGGUUUUAUGUGUUGGGAGCUAGGCAUUUGGUUUUUUCUAGCUAAAACGGUCUAGUAGUAUAUGCUCUAUCACCAUCUACUAUCUUAACUCGACUAUUUCUAUGUAUGUCCAGCCUUCAAUUAUUUCGCAUAUGGCAGCACUAGCUUCUCCUAA